rnacentral:rRNA from 1 species
GACGAACGCUGGCGGCGUGCUUAACACAUGCAAGUCGAGCGGUAAGGCCCUUUCGGGGGUACACGAGCGGCGAACGGGUGAGUAACACGUGGGUGACCUGCCCUCAGCUCUGGGAUAAGCCUGGGAAACCGGGUCUAAUACUGGAUAUGACUCCAUGACGCAUGUUGUGGGGUGGAAAGCCUUGUGCGGCUGAGGAUGGGCCCGCGGCCUAUCAGCUUGUUGGUGGGGGUG